rnacentral:misc_RNA from 1 species
AGUCGUAACAAGGUUUCCGUAGGUGAACCUGCGGAAGGAUCAUUACUGAGUGAGGGCCCUCUGGGUCCAACCUCCCACCCGUGUUUAUUGUACCUUGUUGCUUCGGCGGGCCCGCCUUUAUGGCCGCCGGGGGGCUUACGCUCCCGGGCCCGCGCCCGCCGAAGACACCCUCGAACUCUGUCUGAAGAUUGUAGUCUGAGUGAAAAUAUAAAUUAUUUAAAACUUUCAACAACGGAUCUCUUGGUUCCGGCAUCGAUGAAGAACGCAGCGAAAUGCGAUACGUAAUGUGAAUUGCAGAAUUCAGUGAAUCAUCGAGUCUUUGAACGCACAUUGCGCCCCCUGGUAUUCCGGGGGGCAUGCCUGUCCGAGCGUCAUUGCUGCCCUCAAGCACGGCUUGUGUGUUGGGCCCCGUCCUCCGAUCCCGGGGGACGGGCCCGAAAGGCAGCGGCGGCACCGCGUCCGGUCCUCGAGCGUAUGGGGCUUUGUCACCCGCUCUGUAGGCCCGGCCGGCGCUUGCCGAUCAACCAAAAUUUUUUCCAGGUUGACCUCGGAUCAGGUAGGGAUACCCGCUGAACUUAAGCAUAUCAAUAAGCGGAGGA